UAGGAACCGAUUAGAGGUGGAUACAUUAAAUGCCAUUUUGGCAAUCAGAUUCGGAUUGCGUCACCAUAAGUUAUGCUGUCAUAAUUAUAACUUGCCUGAGAAGUACCUCCAAUUAAUUGGCUCCAUGGCUACAUAUGAGGACAGCAAUGAUGAUGACGGGAAAAUAAUAGAAGAUGCCUUAAAACUAUUAUCUUAAUAAUAAAAAAUAAUAAUA